CACCAAGUGUAUGAAAGGUUUCUUUUUAUCUCAAAGAGGCAAGAGUUCCCUUUGGUAUCUUCUAUUGGACAUUAAUAAUGGUGGGGUUGGGGGAAGGAGAAGGUAACAGAUCUCUUUAACUUAAAGGCUGCAUAUCAUAAUGAAACUCCUACUAAUGGCACAUUUCCUUUCUACCCUGAUGAUAAAUAAAGCCAUGCCUUAGUGGUCAUUCUUUUUCUCCUCUCCACAUUACUUACUCCUGACCUAGUUAUUCAGAUUCCUUAGCUAGUGACUUCUAACGGUGUCAUGACGUAAGGGCAAUGACCUUAGAACUAUGAAUGAGGGUAGAGAUUGAUGCCACAUGGCUUUUGACAUACAUUGACUCAAGAAGCUGGGGAGGUCUGGGGUCAAGGUAUUAGCAGCAGCACUUGCCAGGUACGUUCCUCAACAUUCAUAGGACAUUUCUCUCUCAGGUCAAUUCCUGAUUUAUUCUGUCUGAAUCCCCUGAAUAACCUAUGGGAUCCUACAUUCUGGGCAGCUCAUGUGUGCUUGGAGAUGUGCUUUCAUGGUUUCGUACGCUAUGCUCUACACUGCUUUGAGUUGUAGAGAUGUUUCCUGUGACUCAUGUUCAUUUAGGAGGCAUUUUAGUUCUUGAUUUAGAAUAUUUCCCACCAUGAAGUACAUUGAGAAUGCUCUUUUUAUAAGUUUCCCCCUGUGGAAUAACAUAAAAACCUAGGGAAAAAAUCUGUGAAUAAAACAUCAGUGUGCUAACUAAUGUCCGUUCCACUUCACAAAGCCUUAAAAACAUUCAUCAAGCCACAGUUUGACAUUGCAGAAUGGUACCCCAAUGAGUCAAUGUCAUAGGAUGAAGUUCAACAAGGCAGUUAUUAUAGACAUGUGCUGGGUGGGCUGUGAACAUACAUCACUAGCAUCACUAGCAACAGAUGACCACCAUCAUCGACAGAGGAAGAAAACUCUGUGAGCCACAGGGCCUAGCGAAGCCUUCUGCUUUUUUGGCAAGAGUGCUGCCAGGGGAGAGCUGGAUUCGAUGCCAUCUUCAGUCUUAGGAUGAGUGCUUGGGCCCCUUCCUACAACUGCCUUUAUGCUUUGCAAAAAUGGUACACUUCGAAUUAUGGACUUCAUCGCAUGCUGAGAUGCAUAAUAAGCACCAGGGCCGCAAUCAGCUUAAAAAGAGAAUGCUGAACUGGGUGUGAAGUCUUGGGCUGAUUCUUGUCUGGGAUGGUGGGCAGGGAGCAGCACUCCCUGAGAAGAGGACCUUGCCAGACGGGAUUUGCAAAGUUGAGGUUAUCCUCAGGAAAUCAGAGCUACAGGUAGGCUGAAUCUAGUGCUGUCCGGCAGAAGAGUUUAGAGCUUCUCAGCAUCUUUUUGACAGUGAAAUGAUAAGGCAUACGAAGCAGUUUUAAAAAUCAGUUUGGUUUAACAAAAUAGCCAAAAAGAUAAUCAUGAAACAGAAGAUAAUCCAACAAGAUAAUUAGGAUCGGAAGAGAACACAAUCUCUAAUGGUAUAACUGUCUAAAAAGCUUGACCAUGAAAUAUCCUGAAUUUGUGUAAAUCAAAGUUACCAAUCCUGUUUUCACACUAGUGCUUCUAGCCUGGAGGCCUGGAUUCUAACUCUAAUUUACAGAAUGGUAUCUGAAAUGCUAUUACCAAGUUUUUCUUCUAUAGACAUUAAAAAACAACAACAACAACCCAACCCUGUUUUGUUCGUUUACUUAAAGUCAGCUCAUAGCAAUUUGCACUAUUUGAAGGGAGCAAUAUCACAGAUAAUAGGAAAUAGCAAAUAAUUUUUUAAAUGUUGUAUUUGAGUCUGUGGAAAAUGUUUUAGGUAUUUGCAUUUAAAUAGCCAUAUGUCUCAAACUCUAGAAAUUGCCAGCAUUUCAAACAAAAUAGUGUAUCCCUGUUGAAAGGAUGAAGUGGUAUGCUGUAUAUUUAUAAAACAGACUUUGUAACUCUGGACUGACUCAGUUUCACGUAGUAAGGCAGGAAUUAGUAGCUGUGUGAUCUAAAUUAUUCAACUUCUCUGUGACUUAGCUUCUUUGGUUAUGAAGUGGUGAUGAUACCAGGUUUUACUUUAUGGGCUUCCAAUCAGGAAUAGAUGGGACAUGAUGGGGGAUACACUUUACACAAAGCUUGGCAUGCAGAAGGUGACUCUAGCUCUGCAUGAUCAUACAUGGUAAAAUUCUCUUUCUUGAUUAUGGUAUUUUAUUUACCCCAUAAGUCUAGAUAUUAGGUUAUUAGGUUAGAGAAAACCUAGAUCUUGCUUUUAUUAACAGGAUUACACAGAGUAGUUUUACAAGGUCAAUAAUAAACUAUUAAGAAGGAGUUCCUGGGGCGCCUGGGUGGCCUGGUUGGCUAAGUGGCUGACUUCUGGUUUCUGCUCGGGUCAUGAUCCCAGGGUCCUAAGCUUGAGCCCCGUGUUGGGCUCUGCAUUCAGCCUGGAGUCUGCUUGGGAUUUUCUCCCUCUCCCUCUGUCUCUCCCCUGCACUCAUUCAAUCUCUCUCUCAAAACAAAGAAAUAAACAAAUAACUAAAAGGAAAGAGUUCCUAUACACAGAGGGAUAGAAAGCACCCUGGAGGAACAUUUUUCCAUCUGUUUGGGCUCAGACUCCCAUAGGCCAGCCAUCUGCAUAUUUCCCUCUGAUGACCAAGAGCUCAUGACUCCCCAAGGGAGUAGCCCCUUCCAACUUAGGACACUUCAUCAUUAGGAAACUUGUCAUUAUGUUGCUUCUCUAUAGUUUCCAUCAGGAGCCCUGGUUCAGUUGUCCAUGGCAAUUCAGAAUAAACUUAUUUCUAUUUUACAUGAAGAUAUUCCAGAUACUUGAAGAUGAGUAUUAUGCCUUUUCUGUGUCAGGUCUGCCAUUUUGCAGACCUUCAGCCAUUUCUCUCAUCUCACAGCCAUGUUUGUGGGACCUCCAUAGACCAGUGGAUAUAUUCUAGAGACUCAGGACUCAGAGUGUGAUGAGCAGACAAAAUGGGAAAUCUCAGGUGUACUCUGACCAAGACAAAAUAAAGCCAGGGAAGAGCUGUUAUCAAGAGGUUUGAGUCUGAGUGCCAGCUUUGCCUUUCCCCAGCUGACAGAGGCCUUGGGCAUGCCACUCAACCUUCAUGUGGUUUAUUUUCCGCAUAGGCAUUUGUGCAUGUGAAAAAUUCAUCUUCUUAGAUCUAAUCCAUCUUCUCAACCUUUUUGAUCCCAUUUCUUCAUCUAACGUAUUAUCUUUCCCUUCUGGCUUCAUUAAAUUUGUGAAUCUGAUCAGCAUACUAUUAUGUGCACAUCCGUGCCACUGAUUAAAAUGUAAAACAUGGCAAGUCCAACACAGGUCUAUAACUGAGUGUUCAAAACUUGUACUAGGUUGUCCAUGAUUUCAUUUAUUUAUUCAAGAAGUAUUUAUUAAGUGCUGACUAUGUGGUAAGCAUGAUGUUUUGUGCAGGGGAUGUGAGGAUGAACAAGAGAGUUCCCAUCGCUGUCCUCCUGAAACUAGAGUCUAGUGGACAAUCUGUUGGCAUUUUGGGGCACUGUGGUUUAAAAUGUUUUCAGUCUUUGUACCAGUCUUUGUUGGUAUAAAGAUCUAAUUACAGCAAUGUCUUGAUCACCCAGUUUGGAGCCCAAAGGAAAGAGUUUAAUAGCAAAAGAUAUUAAUAAUAUUUACUUACUAAUGUUUACUUAGUAAUUUUUUCUAAGUUGGUCUAGUGAAUUUUUAGAAGUCAUCUAUAAUGUGGCUAGCAUAACUGUGCAAAUUAUCUAUAUUAUUAUUUGGGCAAUGGAAUGUACCCUUAAAUUGAAACUGUGUGCUUUGAUAAGCAAUGCAUGGAUGUUGCACUUUGCUCUUGUGGUGCUGGUUCUCUUAUUGGGGUAACUGUGCUCACCAGGAGACAAGUGACAAUGUCUGGAGAGGAGACAUUUUUGGUGUGCACUGUGGGGAGGAAGGAAGCUACUGGCAUCUAACAGGUAGAAAUGCUGUUAAGUAUCUUACAACAUACAGGUCAGCUCCUUUCUUACCCAUCCAAUAAACAAUUAAGACUUAUCUGGCCCCAAAUGUCAGUGUGGAGGUUAUAAAGCCCUGCUCUAGGGGCGCCUGGGUGGCUCAGUGGGUUAAGUGUCUAACUCUUAAUUUCAGCUCAGGUCAUGGUCUCAGGGUCAUGAGGUAGAGCCCUGCAUCAGGCUCUGUGCUCAGUGGGGAAUCUGCUUGAGAUCCUCUCCCACUUCUGCCCCCCUACCCCCCUGCCAACACUCUCUGGGGCUCUCUCUCUCUCUUUCUCAUAAAUAAAUACAUCUUUAAACAAACAACCCUGCUGUAGGGCAGGUGGUGUAGCUGUAUGGUUAGAACUACAAACUUGGGAGCUGGAGAGUCCUGGGUUUGAAAUCCGCCUUCAGGGACCACUUAACUUUGUACCUAAGUGUGUGCAUAUGCAAAAUAAAGUUGGUAACAAUGGCAUCCUCAGCAAGAAGACUAAUGAGGUCAUGCUUGUGAAGCACUCAGUGUAGUGUCUGGUGCAAGGCAAGGACUAAAUAAAUGGUGGUUAUUAUAUUGUUUGGUUUGCUUUUUCUCCGAAUACUACACAUUUUAAUUGACACAAGCUAACUGCUGUAUAUAGAGAUGUAUCCAAAGACAUGGAUAGCACUUCUAUAUCAUGAAGAAAUCUGUUGUUUUCCUGUGUUUAAAGAAACAACCCUCAGCAAUUUGAUCUCCAAAUGUUCACCAGCCCGUGAAUCGGAUGAUAGCCUCUGUGCUUAGCUGCCUGAAGUACUCCACUGAGAGGCUGAACUGCCAAAUGGAUUAAUUUUUUAAUGAAUACUUGAGGAUUUUAUGUCCAAAUACCAGUAUGCCUCCCAUUUUUAGACAGACAUAAUGUUCCCAGUGUUAUGGAGAUGAGAGUCUGGGCGAGGGGUAAAGGUAGAUAAAACUCUAACACUUCAAAACUAUGACCUUAAUGAAAAUGUACACUCCAAUCGCUUGAUAUCUUUUGCUUUCAAUACAGUUUGUAGUGAUAUUAAUGACAGCACAAAAAUGUGGCUUAAUAUUUACUUAUAAGAUGACCAUCCUUGGGAGUUGUUGCCAGUUUGUGCAAAUUAUGGGCACAGAUUUAGAUUCUUAUUUAAUAUCCAAAAAAAGCUGACAAGACCUAUGGUCUCAAGUGGCUGGUUCUUUCAGUGAUGGGAUGAUGGUGCCUUUGCAAAUUCAUACUCCAGAUGAGGUUUUGGAUGCAGAGAAUAGAGGGAUUUGAAGAAGAGAGAGAUUGGAACUUGAAUUGUUUCUUGGAUUAGAGAAUGAAGACUAGGCAACUUUGGGCCUGUUUGUGGGUGGGCACAGAGAUGGCUGUAAUGUCCAGGUGGUUUCUCCUUGACUGGGAGAGGUGGCAAGUAGGUGAUACUGUGCACUCUACAUGUCUGUUCAAAACAUUUGCAUGGAAAAAGACCUUAGAUACAGAGAUUGAGUGUUUACUUCCAUCUGUUGUGAUACUUAUAUCAGAAUGUUAAUAAUCUUUCAAAUUAAAAAAACAUGUAUUUGGUUGCCUUUAGAAAUUACUUCUAAAUGGAAUUCCUUUAGCCAAUUUCUAAUUAAAUUGCUAAAUGAAAUUACCUCUGUUGGUUUAAAAACAAAUGAUGGUAAGUUCAUUGAUUAUUCAUGAUAUGUACAAAUUAGCCACAUAAUAGGACUUGGUAAGGGAUUCAAAGAUGUUGACUUUAUAAAAUAAAGUGAUAAAAAGAGUAUGAUAGGAAAUCUACACUACUCCUUCAGGAAAAUAUCCUGUAUAUGAUAGCUUUGACUACAGGUUUUUAUAAAUACAUCUAAAACAUGGAGGUAUGCUCAGGUGCACACUUAAAAAUGUCUAUUCAAACAAUUUAUAUCAAUUACUAUUUAAUUAAUAAACUGCAUUGUAAUUUGUUGGUGGAAAGUGGAAACCAAAGUUUGGUUCCGUGCAAAGAUAUCUGCUAGAGAACAAGAAAGCUGCGCUGCUCAUCUUUUCAUGCUAUUUUGACCACAACCUCGACUUGAAUCCUAGUAAACAACUCUCUCUGGGAACAAGGGGUAAUUGAAUCUUCAUGCUAAUUCUAUCCUGGUUUUCUCUUGACUACUAGCUCCCAAUUAUGCCAACAUAUUACACUAUGUACUGUUCUCUAGGAAAACACUAAGACCACGUUGUUCAUUCAACUAAGGUCAGACCUAAAAGGAAAAAAAAAAAAAAAAAAAAA
rnacentral:lncRNA from 1 species